UGGGGAAUAUUGCACAAUGGGCGCAAGCCUGAUGCAGCCAUGCCGCGUGUAUGAAGAAGGCCUUCGGGUUGUAAAGUACUUUCAGUCGGGAGGAAGGUGGUAAGGUUAAUAACCUUAUCAAUUGACGUUACCGACAGAAGAAGCACCGGCUAACUCCGUGCCAGCAGCCGCGGUAAUACGGAGGGUGCAAGCGUUAAUCGGAAUUACUGGGCGUAAAGCGCACGCAGGCGGUUGAUUGAGUCAGAUGUGAAAUCCCCGGGCUUAACCCGGGAAUUGCAUCUGAUACUGGUCAGCUUGAGUCUUGUAGAGGGGGGUAGAAUUCCAUGUGUAGCGGUGAAAUGCGUAGAGAUGUGGAGGAAUACCGGUGGCGAAGGCGGCCCCCUGGACAAAGACUGACGCUCAGGUGCGAAAGCGUGGGGAGCAAACAGG
rnacentral:rRNA from 1 species